rnacentral:rRNA from 1 species
GAUGAACGCUGGCGGCGUGCCUAACACAUGCAAGUCGAACGGAGAUUACGGACGGAAGUUUUCGGAUGGAAGCCUGUAAUUCUUAGUGGCGGACGGGUGAGUAACGCGUGGGCAACCUGCCCUAUACAGGGGGAUAGCAGCUGGAAACGGCUGGUAAGACCGCAUAAGUCGGUUAAAUCGCAUGAUUUGAUCGGGAAAUGAGCAAUCAGGUAUAGGAUGGGCCCGCGUCCGAUUAGCCAGUUGGCAGGGUAAAAGCCUACCAAAGCGACGAUCGGUAGCCGGACUGAGAGGUCGGACGGCCACAUUGGGACUGAGACACGGCCCAAACUCCUACGGGAGGCAGCAGUGGGGGAUAUUGCACAAUGGAGGAAACUCUGAUGCAACGACGCCGCGUGAGUGAAGAAGUAUUUCGGUAUGUAAAGCUCUAUCAGCAGGGAAGAUGAUGACGGUACCUGACUAAGAAGCCCCGGCUAACUACGUG